AUGAACGCUGGCGGCGUGCCUAAUACAUGCAAGUCGAGCGAACAGACGAGGAGCUUGCUCCUUUGACGUUAGCGGCGGACGGGUGAGUAACACGUGGGUAACCUACCUAUAAGACUGGGAUAACUUCGGGAAACCGGAGCUAAUACCGGAUAAUAUUUCGAACCGCAUGGUUCGAUAGUGAAAGAUGGCUUUGCUAUCACUUAUAGAUGGACCUGCGCCGUAUUAGCUAGUUGGUAAGGUAACGGCUUACCAAGGCAACGAUACGUAGCCGACCUGAGAGGGUGAUCGGGCACACUGGAACUGAGACACGGUCCAGACUCCUACGGGAGGCAGCAGUAGGGAAUCUUCCGCAAUGGGCGAAAGCCUGACGGAGCAACGCCGCGUGAGUGAUGAAGGUCUUCGGAUCGUAAAACUCUGUUAUUAGGGAAGAACAAACGUGUAAGUAACUGUGCACGUCUUGACGGUACCUAAUCAGAAAGCCACGGCUAACUACGUG
rnacentral:rRNA from 1 species